CCACCUGACCCCAUGCCGAACUCAGAAGUGAAACGCCGUAGCGCCGAUGGUAGUGUGGGGUCUCCCCAUGUGAGAGUAGGGAACUGCUAGGC
rnacentral:rRNA from 1 species